CCUACGGGCGGCAGCAGUGGGGAAUAUUGGGCAAUGGGCGCAAGCCUGACCCAGCAACGCCGCGUGAAGGAAGAAGGCUCUCGGGUUGUAAACCUCUUUUAUCAGGGACGAAGCAAGUGACGGUACCUGAUGAAUAAGCCACGUCUAACUACGUGCCAGCAGCCGCGGUAAUACGUAGGCGGCAAGCGUUAUGCGGAUUUACUGGGUGUAAAGGGCGUGUAGGCGGGAGUGCAAGUCAGAUGUGAAAACUAUGGGCUCAACCCAUAGACUGCAUUUGAAACUGUACUUCUUGAGUACUGGAGAGGUAAGCGGAAUUCCGGGUGUAGCGGUGAAAUGCGUAGAUAUACGGAAGAACACCAGUGGCGAAGGCAGAUUGCUAAACAGUAACUGACGCUGAGGCGCGAAAGCGUGGGGAGCAAACAGGAUUAGAUACCCCAGUAGUC
rnacentral:rRNA from 1 species